AAUGAACGUUGGCGGCGUGGAUUAGGCAUGCAAGUCGUGCGAGAAGUCUUUUGCUUGCAUUAGACGGAAAGCGGCGAAAGGGAGAGUAACGCGUGGGUACCUACCUCUAGGUUCGGGAUAGCUGCGGGAAACUGUGGGUAAUACCGAAUAACAUCUCCGGAUCAAAGGUGUGAUUCCGCCUGGAGACGGGCCCGCGUCCUAUUAGCUUGUUGGUGGGGUAAUGGCUUACCAAGGCAAUGAGGGGUAUCGGGCGUGAGAGCGUGACCCGACUCACUGGGACUGAGACACUGCCCAGACACCUACGGGUGGCUGCAGUCGAGAAUCUUCGGCAAUGGGCGCAAGCCUGACCGAGCGACGCCGCGUGCGGGAUGAAGGCCCUCGGGUUGUAAACCGCUGUCAGUUGGGAGGAAAUCACAUGGGGUUCUCUCCAUGUGUUGACCUAUCUUCAGAGGAAGGACGGGCUAAGUUCGUGCCAGCCGCCGCAGUAAGAC
rnacentral:rRNA from 1 species